rnacentral:rRNA from 1 species
AACGAGAGUUUGAUCCUGGCUCAGAAUCAACGCUGGCGGCGUGCCUAACACAUGCAAGUCGAACGAGAAAAUUCGGGUGUAGCAAUACAUCCGGGUGAGUAAAGUGGCGCACGGGUGAGUAACACGUAGCUAACCUACCCUCGAGUGGGGGAUAACCUGGGGAAACCCGGGCUAAUACCGCAUAACAUCCCGGUGGCAUAAGUCGCCGGGACCAAAGGCCCGCAAGGGUCGCUCAAGGAGGGAGCUGCGGCCGAUUAGCUAGUUGGUGAGGUAACGGCCCACCAAGGCGAUGAUCGGUAGCCGGCCUGAGAGGGCGCACGGCCACACUGGCACUGAAACACGGGCCAGACUCCUACGGGAGGCAGCAGUGGGGAAUUUUGCACAAUGCCCGAAAGGGUGAUGCAGCAACGCCGCGUGAGGGAUGA